UGGGGAAUUUUGGACAAUGGGCGAAAGCCUGAUCCAGCAAUGCCGCGUGUGUGAAGAAGGCCUUCGGGUUGUAAAGCACUUUUGUCCGGAAAGAAAUCCUUGGCUCUAAUACAGUCGGGGGAUGACGGUACCGGAAGAAUAAGCACCGGCUAACUACGUGCCAGCAGCCGCGGUAAUACGUAGGGUGCAAGCGUUAAUCUGAAUUACUGGGCGUAAAGCGUGCGCAGGCGGUUUGCUAAGACCGAUGUGAAAUCCCCGGGCUCAACCUGGGAACUGCAUUGGUGACUGGCAGGCUAGAGUAUGGCAGAGGGGGGUAGAAUUCCACGUGUAGCAGUGAAAUGCGUAGAGAUGUGGAGGAAUACCGAUGGCGAAGGCAGCCCCCUGGGCCAAUACUGACGCUCAUGCACGAAAGCGUGGGGAGCAAACAGGAUUAGAUACCCUGGUAGUCCACGCCCUAAANGAUGUCAACUAGUUGUUGGGGAUUCAUUUCCUUAGUAACGUAGCUAACGCGUGAAGUUGACCGCCUGGGGAGUACGGUCGCAAGAUUAAAACUCAAA
rnacentral:rRNA from 1 species